AAAUACUCCUGACUGACCGAUAGUGAACCAGUACCGUGAGGGAAAGGCGAAAAGAACCCCGGCGAGGGGAGUGAAAAAGAACCUGAAACCGUGUACGUACAAGCAGUGGGAGCACAGGUUUACCUGUGUGACUGCGUACCUUUUGUAUAAUGGGUCAGCGACUUAUAUUCUGUAGCAAGGUUAACCGAAUAGGGGAGCCGGAGGGAAACCGAGUCUUAAUUGGGCGUUAAGUUGCAGGGUAUAGACCCGAAACCCGGUGAUCUAGCCAUGGGCAGGUUGAAGGUUGGGUAACACUAACUGGAGGACCGAACCGACUAAUGUUGAAAAAUUAGCGGAUGACCUGUGGCUGGGGGUGAAAGGCCAAUCAAACCGGGAGAUAGCUGGUUCUCCCCGAAAGCUAUUUAGGUAGCGCCUCGUGAAUUCAUCUCCGGGGGUAGAGCACUGUUUCGGCUAGGGGGCCAUCCCGGCUUACCAACCCGAUGCAAACUGCGAAUACCGGAGAAUGUUAUCACGGGAGACACACGGCGGGUGCUAACGUCCGUCGUGAAGAGGGAAACAACCCAGACCGCCAGCUAAGGUCCCAAAGUCAUGGUUAAGUGGGAAACGAUGUGGGAAGGCCCAGACAGCCAGGAUGUUGGCUUAGAAGCAGCCAUCAUUUAAAGAAAGCGUAAUAGCUCACUGGUCGAGUCGGCCUGCGCGGAAGAUGUAACGGGGCUAAACCAU
rnacentral:rRNA from 1 species